rnacentral:lncRNA from 1 species
AAACUGAUUUUUCCUUUAUGAUUGCAUGUGAAUUCAUAAAUUAUAAUCACAACCAAGCAUACACCAAAGAGUAAAUCAAAUUUUCAUCCAUGUUUAUAACUCUCUUUAACAGUCAUGUAAUUAAAAACCAAAUCCUCAUCAUUGUGUUGGAAGGUACCCUAAGACACAAAUAAGCAUACAAAAACAACUCUUUUUGGGUUUUUCAAGACAAUUUUUCAAUUUUUUAUGAGAUUUUCGGAUUUUUAUGUCAAAACACACUGAAACACUCCACAACAGCUUAAAAACACUUAAAACAGCAAGGAAUAACACUAGAAGUAAUGGGUGAUAAACUCCUACAAAUUUCAUGCAAAACAAUGUUAGAAGUAUGCCCACAAAGCCACUCAUUUGAUGUAAUAGCUUUUGGAAAUACUUAAUGUAUUAAACUAUUAUAUGUUUAAUGAAGGGCAAAGCUUAUUGUUAAUCACUAUUUAUUGUAUCAUGUGUUUAAGCAAUAAGGGAAUCCAAGGAAUGUAUUUGAUCUAAGGGAUAAGUGAUUUUAGUAAGUUAGAUUAACGAGACCUUUCUCUUAUGCUCAUUCCUAAAACGCUCAUAGCCAUAGGAUUGCCAAUUGGGCAUUGACAAUCCGCUAAGGUUAGUAUGUGUUAUGUCAACUCAAGCGUGAGUAUGACUAGUCUCAAGUCAUUUAGUGUUGGACACUAAGACAAACACGUAGGUGCUUGAAUGAGUAAUCGAGUACACUGAACAAAGAUCAAAAGGGAGUUCGAACAUCCAUGUCAUGUAAGAACUCGUAAGUUGCAAUAUGCAAAGUAGUCCUUUGACCUGACGCAUCAUAGAUGUCUAAUGGUUAGGUCCUUGAUCUUUGAUCAUGUCAAAGGCAUUCCAUCGAGAGUGUCCACGACAUUGUUGGGGUCAAGCUAUCUAGUCAUGUAGGCAUAUGAAUGCAGAACAAGGGAUCUCUAACCUUCCAUAGUGGAAGGAGAAUACUCUAAGAUAUGAUUCAGGAGUCUUUGGCCAAAGCAUACGAAUAUGACUUAGGAAGUAUGUUCCAAAUCAUAUUCAAUUGAAUCAUAUAGAUAAGUAUUACAUUGGAUAGUAGACAUGAAACAAACUAUCACUCAAACAAUUUGAUUAAGAGUAUUGUAUUAGAGAAGGACCGUAUUGCAUUGAAAUUGUAACUGGAUAGGUUCUCCAACCAAUUCUAUUUAGCUUGGGUA